rnacentral:rRNA from 1 species
CGGGGUGCAGCAGGCGCGAAAACUCUACAAUGCAGGCAACUGCGAUAGGGGGGCAUCGAGUGGCAUCCACCUUGGGUGCCUGUCCAACCGUCUAAAAAACGGUUGUUAGCAAGGGCCGGGUAAGACCGGUGCCAGCCGCCGCGGUAAUACCGGCGGCUCGAGUGGUGGCCGAUAUUAUUGAGUCUAAAGGGUCCGUAGCCGGCUUUGCAAGUCCCCUGGGAAAUCCAGCGGCUUAACCGUUGGGCUUUCAUGGGAUACUACAUUGCUUGGGACUGGGAGAGGUAGGAGGUACUCGGGGGGUAGGGGUGAAAUCCUGUAAUCCUCCGGGGACCACCGGUGGCGAAGGCGUCCUACCAGAACAGGUCCGACGGUGAGGGACGAAAGCUAGGGGCACGAACCGGAUUAGGUACCCGGGUAGUCCUAGCCGUAAACGAUGCCCGCUAGGUGUCACGACGGUCGUGAAUCGUCGUGGUGCCGUAGGGAAGCCGCGAAGCGGGCCACUUGGGAAGUACGGCCGCAAGGCUGAAACUUAAAGGAAUUGGCGGGGGAGCA